rnacentral:rRNA from 1 species
CCUACGGGUGGCAGCAGUGGGGAAUAUUGGACAAUGGGCGAAAGCCUGAUCCAGCCAUGCCGCGUGUGUGAAGAAGGCCUUCGGGUUGUAAAGCACUUUCAGUGGGGAAGAAAGCCUUGGGGCUAAUACCCUCGAGGAAGGACAUCACCCACAGAAGAAGCACCGGCUAACUCCGUGCCAGCAGCCGCGGUAAUCCGGAGGGUGCGAGCGUUAAUCGGAAUUACUGGGCGUAAAGCGCGCGUAGGCGGUCUGAUAAGCCGGUUGUGAAAGCCCCGGGCUCAACCUGGGAACGGCAUCCGGAACUGUCAGGCUAGAGUGCAGGAGAGGAAGGUAGAAUUCCCGGUGUAGCGGUGAAAUGCGUAGAGAUCGGGAGGAAUACCAGUGGCGAAGGCGGCCUUCUGGACUGACACUGACGCUGAGGUGCGAAAGCGUGGGUAGCAAACAGGAUUAGAUACCCUGGUAGUC